rnacentral:rRNA from 1 species
UACAGAGACCUCAAGCGUUAUCCGGAAUCAUUGGGCGUAAAGCGUACCGAUAGGUGGUUUUACAUGUCAGAAGUGAAAUCUCUCAGCUUAACUGGGAGACUGUCUUUUGAAACUGUAAAACUAGAGGGGCAAAGAGGAAGCUGGAACGAACGGUGUAGUAGUGAAAUGCGUUGAUAUCGUUCGGAACACCAAUAGCGUAGGCAGGCUUCUGGGUGCCACCUGGCACUGCUAGGACGAAAGCGUGGGGAGCGAAUGGG